rnacentral:rRNA from 1 species
GACGGGUGAGUAAUGCCUAGGAAUCUGCCUGGUAGUGGGGGACAACGUUUCGAAAGGAACGCUAAUACCGCAUACGUCCUACGGGAGAAAGUGGGGGAUCUUCGGACCUCACGCUAUCAGAUGAGCCUAGGUCGGAUUAGCUAGUUGGUGAGGUAAAGGCUCACCAAGGCGACGAUCCGUAACUGGUCUGAGAGGAUGAUCAGUCACACUGGAACUGAGACACGGUCCAGACUCCUACGGGAGGCAGCAGUGGGGAAUAUUGGACAAUGGGCGAAAGCCUGAUCCAGCCAUGCCGCGUGUGUGAAGAAGGUCUUCGGAUUGUAAAGCACUUUAAGUUGGGAGGAAGGGCAGUAAGUUAAUACCUUGCUGUUUUGACGUUACCAACAGAAUAAGCACCGGCUAACUUCGUGCCAGCAGCCGCGGUAAUACGAAGGGUGCAAGCGUUAAUCGGAAUUACUGGGCGUAAAGCGCGCGUAGGUGGUUCGUUAAGUUGGAUGUGAAAGCCCCGGGCUCAACCUGGGAACUGCAUCCAAAACUGGCGAGCUAGAGUAUGGCAGAGGGUGGUGGAAUUUCCUGUGUAGCGGUGAAAUGCGUAGAUAUAGGAAGGAACACCAGUG